GGCAGCUUGUGGCGAGCUGUUGGGGAGUGACGACCCCACGGACCCGAGUGCUCCAGAGAGUCGGUCAGGGUCUCCGUCUCCGGCGUGUCUUCGUCGGUCGGAGUGGACCCCAAGGGGACCCGCAGGACUCUCAGCUCUGGCUUGCCUUCAUUGGCCGUCCAGAGGGGAGUCGUAAGAGCUAUAUGCUCCAGGGGUGGAAGUGAAAGAUGCAUAAGACGCGAGUUGGCACAGUGGCUGUUAACAGUCACUGGGUAGAAAGCGGCGCACACCUCUCGACACCCCUGAGCCGCUCACACCGGUGUUGCUCCUGGUCGUCUUCACGACGGCAGUUUCAGGGGCCCAUCUAGUCAGCGGCAAGUCACCACCUGCCGCGAUAACGUGUAUUAACAUUGUUAUGGCAGGUGUCCGGAGUUCUUUACAAUAGCCCAGUCUCAUUGCCCACCCAAACUUCAAUCCAUAGACCGGUAUACUGUUCACUUUUUCUGCAAUAGUCCCAAUGCCUGCUGCGACCGGUUCAUGGGUGUCUAUUGUUGCGCCUGUGAACGGGUUCCAGCAGGCGUUCUACAUGACAUUAAAGCUCUCCAAGGGGCCUCUACGUGUUGGAUCUAUAUCCCCACGCAAGCCUAUCAAAAGACCGGGAUUUAUAGGCCCGUGAUAUCCAAGGAGAUACAAAUAAUAAUAAUAAUAAGAAAAAUAAUAAAUAAAGAGAAUAAUAAUAAUAAUAAGCCUCCAGGGCAGCUUGUGGCGAGCUGAAUGGGAAGUGACGUCCCUUGGGUCCCAUACCCCCGAGAGUCGAUCAGGCCCCUCCCUCCGGCUUGCCUUCAUUGGCCGGCUGGAGUGAACACUGAGCAGGGGCCGCAGGACUCUCACCUCUGGCUUGCCUUUACCGGCCGUCCAGAGUGGGGUGUCAGAGCUAUAUGCUCGCAGGGUGGAAGUGAAAUAUGCAUAAGACGCGAGUUGGCACAGUGGCUGUGAGUGUUUACAGCCACUGGGUAGAAAGCGGUGCACACCUCUCCACACCCUGAGCCACUCACGCGAUGUUGUCCCCUUGUCGCUCCGUGCGAGCGGCCGUUUUCGGGGACCCAUAUUGUGAGUUGGCGAGUCACCACCUGUCCAUUUUUUUCGUGUUUUUAAACAUAGAUUGGGGCAGGUGCCAUAGUAUUUCCAUAGACCCGGUAACCAGUACACUAACAUCUCAACACAAUAGCCUAGUUUAUUUUGUUUCUUAUCAUUGCAAUAGUCCUGCACUAACCGGGGCUUGUCCUUGGGUGCACUACUAUAGUGCAUACAGGGAUAAUCGUCGGUUGGUGUCACAUCACCUUUUAGAGUAAAUUGUCUUUUUACAAGGGGCCUCUGCGUGUUGGCUUCGGCCCCACGCACGCCUUCCAAAUGUCCGGGACCCCAUGGUCCCGAGAUUAUAUUAUGUAAAGGACGAACAUAAUAAUAAAAUACUUUAUUGUGCACUACAAAGAAAAAUACAUGUUACAAACAAA